rnacentral:ncRNA from 1 species
CACCGUGAGGAGAAAUCUGAAGAAAGCCUGAGGCAAACCACCGACCUGACGAACAGGAACGGCAUCAGGCAGUCGACGACGGGCAAGUCUGCCAAACCAGACGAAGCCCGAAGCUGCACGCAAUCCGAGGUGUAGAUGCAGCUGGUGCAUGGUGAAA